CAACAGAGAGAAGCAAUACCGCGAGGUGGAGCAAAACUUCAAAAAUAGGUCUCAGUUCGGACUGUAGGCUGCAACUCGCCUACACGAAGUUGGAAUUGCUAGUAAUCGUGGAUCAGCAUGCCACGGUGAAUACGUUCCCGGGUCUUGUACACACCGCCCGUCACACCAUGGGAGCUGGUAACACCCGAAGUCAGUAGUCUAACCGCAAGGAGGACGCUGCCGAAGGUGGGAUUAGCGACUGGGGUGAAGUCGUAACAAGGUAAC
rnacentral:rRNA from 1 species